CCAUCCACCAAACCGAACUAGAAGUAGUCGUGCACUUGUCACAAGAUAUUUUCUCAUUCAAUACUUUCAGUUUCAGACAUAAACCUAGUCCUCUGUGUCACAAAAACUCUGAAAAAACAAGGUUGUCUAUAACAUUUUUUUUCAUUCAAUUUUUCUAUUGAAAAUUUCCAAUUAUCUCAAUUUUAUGAUUCUUUUUCUUCUUUGAAGGAACCAACUAUUCAUGCUACAAUGGUAGCUAUGUUACCUUCUUCCACCAUAACUCAACAACCCAUUUCUCCAUGGAUUCAUGGUUCAAUUCCCAUUUCAAAUCUCACUUCAUCACCUUCAUUCAAAUCAAGAAGAUUAACCUUAUUGAAUUCACAGUUUCGUGCUGCUUUGGUUGAAGCAAAACCAUCAUCACAAAGUUCAGUUUCUUUAUCAGCAUCACCUAAAGAUGAUACCCUUAAGGCUCUUGCUCUUUCAAAGGAUCGUGCUGAGGAUAUUCAAGCUGAGGCAAAAGCUUUGGCUCGUGCUGUUAAUGCUUCUGUUUAUAGUCCUCAACUUGUUGCUUCAAGAUAUGGUUCUAAACCCUUAAAGGUUGCGGGAAGGGCAUUUCAGAUUGUGUUUAAUUUAGGUUCAUUUGGUUUGAAGCUAUUAUGGGAGCAGAGAAAUGGAGUUGCUGAUCAGAAUAAAAGGAUUCGUGCUAUUGAGCUUAGGAAUAUAUUCACUAAGCUUGGACCAACUUUUGUCAAAUUGGGUCAAGGGCUGUCUACUAGACCCGAUAUUUGUCCAUCUGAGUAUCUUGAGGAGCUUUCUGAACUUCAAGAUGGUUUGCCAACAUUUCCUGACGAGGACGCCUUUGAAUGCAUUGAGAGGGAAUUAGGUUUAUCUCUCGACUCUAUUUUCUCAACAAUAUCUCCAUCGCCGAUAGCUGCUGCUAGUUUAGGUCAGGUUUAUAAAGCUCGGUUGAAACGCUCGGGCAAAGUUGUUGCGGUCAAGGUGCAACGCCCUGGUAUUGAAGAAGCUAUAGGAUUGGACUUCUACCUCAUUAGAGGUUUAGGGUUUCUAAUAAAUAAAUAUGUGGAUCGAAUCACAACUGAUGUUGUUGCACUUAUUGAUGAGUUUGCAUGUAGAGUCUUUCAAGAGCUUAACUAUGUGCAGGAGGGACAAAAUGCAAGGAGAUUCAAAAAAUUGUAUGCUGACAAGGAAGAUAUCUUAGUUCCUGAUGUUUUUUGGGACUAUACAAGUGCGAAGGUACUAACGAUCGAUUGGAUUGAAGGAGUAAAACUAAAUGAUCAAGAAGCAAUUGAGAGGCAAGGACUUAAUGUCUUGGAUCUAGUAAACAGCGGAAUACAGUGCAGUCUCAGACAACUGCUCGAGUACGGAUAUUUCCAUGCAGAUCCUCAUCCUGGUAAUCUCUUGGCAACACCAGAAGGAAAACUUGCUUUUCUUGAUUUCGGGAUGAUGAGUGAGACUCCAGAAGAAGCAAGAUUUGCAAUAAUUGGUCACGUUGUUCACUUGGUUAACCGAGACUAUGAAGCUAUGGCUCAAGACUAUUAUGCUCUUGAUUUCUUAUCCAGGGAUAUUGAUGUAUCUCCAAUUGUUCCUGCACUUCGAAACUUUUUUGACGAUGCACUUAAUUAUACUGUCAGUGAGCUUAACUUCAAGACGAUUGUGGAUGGUCUCGGAAAUGUUUUGUAUGAAUAUCCAUUUAAUGUUCCAGCAUACUAUGCGUUGAUAUUAAGGUCUCUCACUGUUCUAGAAGGUUUAGCACUAUAUGCUGAUCCCAAUUUUAAGGUGCUUGCUGCAUCAUACCCCUACUUUGCUAAAAGGCUUCUAACGGAUCCAAAUCCAUAUCUAAGAGACGCUCUGAUUGAGUUGCUUUUCAAGGAUGGAAAGUUCAGAUGGAAUAGGCUUGAAAACCUUCUAGUUCAAGGGAAAAAAGAUAGAGAUUUCUCUGCUAAAGAGGCCUUACAACCUGUCCUGAAGGUAUUGUUGAGUCCUGAUGGUGAAGUGUUGAGGAAUCUAGUUAUCAAAGAAGCUAUUCGUGUGUCUGAAGCUUUUACUCUCGGCACAAUUUCCGAAACAUAUCGGUAUGUUCCUGACUUUUUGAGGAACCUUGUCUUCAAUGGCAAUGCAAAGGAUCCACUUAUGAUGUCAGAAACUGAAAGGCAAAGCAUUGUAGAGCUUAGAGAUCAAGUGAUUAGGAUAUGGAGAAUUCUGCAAUCCUCUAAUGAUUUUGAUCCAUCUCUUUUGCUACCGAUACUACAGGUGCUUCAGCAACCUGAGGCCCGUAGACUUGGGGGGCGUGUUGUCGGUGGAAUCACUCAACGACUUGCAGCACGCUUUCUUAUGCAAUUACUUGGAGCACCAAAAACAACAUCUACAUAGAUUGUGUCACAGCAAAGGUUAGAUAAGGCAUGCAUAUAGCAUAUAUUAUUUCCUAGAAGUUUGAAUUACUUUUGCGAUACUCAAGGUUAUUAUGGACAGGGAAGAUAGGAGAGUUAUUUUGUUAACAUAAGAUGAAAAAAAGUAAGAUAUUAAAUUCUUUAAAAAUUGUUGUAUUUUAAUUUUUCUUUUUGGAUACUUCAUUUUAGUCCAAAAAAUUGUAAAUAUCUGAUAUCGUCGUCAUUAUUGAUGCGGUUUCGUCACAAUAAGCAUCAAGAGAUCACAAUGUAACAAUAUCAAUUGGUCAAUCAAUCAUUUCCCUACACACACAUGUUUCUGUUUCUUAUCUGUAAUAGAGCUAUUAUUGUAGUUC